CCUGCACUGGACAGUGUAAGCAGAUGGUGAGAGAGAGCACGCAUCAGAGGCGGUCUGAAUAUCUAAGAACCACCCUGGCUCUUCAGUAGAGGUUUGUCGAAGCAUGCAGUGUCUGCUCUAUAGUUACAGGGAGGCUGAUGGGUCGUGCACGCGGUAGGGAAGGGGUUGGGCUGACGGGGCGGUCUAACCUCAUCUCUUUCUGACUUGCGAGACAGCGUGUUCACUCAUCCAAGGACCUAUGGCUCUAAGCUCCAAGAGAUUGUGGUAGACUUGGAGAUUCUGUUAGUGCUCCAUGAGCUGAAGGUCAAUUCCAAAGAGGACUUACACAAAAGAAACAGUAAAACAAAUCAUCACCACUCCUGUAUAUCAGUUGGAGAAUACUGUUCCCCAAAAGGGGAAGAGGAAUCCUGGUGAACGCCUGGAUUAUACAAUCUAUCUAGAAGGACUAAAGAUCCCUCACCAAAGCUCUUCCUCAUUUGUAUAACUUGUAAGUCAAAAGCUUCACUAUGUGUAAAGCACCAAAUGCUACGUGCUAUCGAUAGAACGUUUAUAGCUAUAUAAGAGUCAUAGGUGUUGGACAUACCUUGGAAUAAUGGAGUGAACUCAAUAAAACAAGGUGAUGUUUUGCUGUUUAAUAACAUUUAUAAUUGUUAUCGUACUGAGUGUCGAUUAGGGCCUGAUAGCAAGUGGCUCACAUGUGACUGAAAUUAAUGUUUCUUUUACAAAGUCAAA